rnacentral:lncRNA from 1 species
CUGGAGAAGACUCGAACGAAUCUGCAUUUGUACAGGUAAAAAAUGCAUAUAAUUGGGCACAGGAUGAAUUUUUAAACGCAGGAAAAAGAUAUGAAGAAGCACUAAGAAUCAAACCUGAUUUCUAUGAAGGAGUUCUAGCUCUAGGGCUGCAGCAGUUUGAACGUGCAAAACUCUCUUGGUAUUAUGCAGUUGCCAAGAAUGAUGAUCUGGAUAAAUGGUCUUCUACAGAUGUGAUUCAGCUUUAUAAUUGCGCUGAGGAAAAUAUGGAAAAGGGCAUGCAGAUGUUUGAGGUAUUAGAGCGGGAACGUUUGGAUGAACUUUCUAAAGAAAAAAAUCUGUCAAUUUCAGAUGGAUUAAUAGAAGAUAUAAGAAUGGAUGAAGCUGCAGAGCUAUCUGCCCAUAUGAGGUCUCAGAUAAAUAUUUUAUGGGGUACUAUGCUCUAUGAAAGAUCAAAUAUGGAAUACAAACUAGGGCUUCCGGUCUGGCAAGAAUCUUUAGAGGUUGCAGUUGAAAAGUUUGAGCUCUCUGGAGCCUCUCCAACAGAUGUAGCAGUCGUGAUAAAGAACCAUUCUUCCAACAGUACUGCCUUGGAAGGUGAAAGCUGCUGAACAAGGGUCUCUCAGACUCUAUGUAAUGGAUGUUAGUCCAGAGCAUGAUCCGUUAUUUGAGAAGGUCAAGAAAAACGAAGAGGUAUACAUGCAUCAUAAGAAUCACAAAGAUUUUACUGAUAAUGGAUAUAUUGCAAUAGGUAACAACGCUAGAGGAAGGCAGUCCUGCAUUGAUGACUGGAUCGUGCAGUUCUCUGAGCUGUUCAAGAACUAUGUUGGAUUCAGUUGUGAUGCAUAUUUGGAUCUCCAUGAGUUUGGAAUGAAGGUUUAUGCAGAGGCUAUGGAGGAAACAGUUACAAGUGAAGAAGCCCAAGGGAUUUUCAACACUGCAUCAGAAAAAUUCCAAGAGAUGGCCUCUCUGGCCUUGUUUAAUUGGGGUAAUGUUCACAUGUCCAGGGCAAGGAAGAGGGUGUACUUUACUGGAGAAGACUCGAACGAAUCUGCAUUUGUACAGGUAAAAAAUGCAUAUAAUUGGGCACAGGAUGAAUUUUUAAACGCAGGAAAAAGAUAUGAAGAAGCACUAAGAAUCAAACCUGAUUUCUAUGAAGGAGUUCUAGCUCUAGGGCUGCAGCAGUUUGAACGUGCAAAACUCUCUUGGUAUUAUGCAGUUGCCAAGAAUGAUGAUCUGGAUAAAUGG